GACGAACGCUGGCGGCGUGCCUAAUACAUGCAAGUCGAACGCAGUGGGGACGGGUGAGUAACACGUGGGUAACCUCCCAUCAGAGGGGAUAACACUUGGAAACAGGUGCUAAACCGAUACUGAUGGAUGGACCCGCGGUGCAUUAGCUAGUUGGUGAGGUAACGGCCCACCAAGGCCACGAUGCAUAGCCGACCGGGGUGGGUGAUCGGCCAACCUGGGACUGAGACACGGCCCAGACUCCUACGGGAGGCAGCAGUAGGGAAUCUUCGGAAAUGGACGAAAGUCUGACCGAGCAACGCCGCGUGAGUGAAGACGGCCUUCGGGUUGUAAAGCUCUGUUAAUCGGGACGCGGUACCGAAAUAGAAAGCCACGGCUAACUACGUGCCAGCCGCCGCGGUAAUUC
rnacentral:rRNA from 1 species